ensembl:rRNA 5S_rRNA 5S ribosomal RNA
GUCUACGACCAUACCACCCUGAACGCGCCUGAUCUCAUCUGAUCUCGGAAGCUAAGCAGGGUUGGGCCUGGUUAGUACUUGGAUGGGAGAAAUUUGUGUGCAUGUGAAUG